AGCUGUAAGCGGCGGCUAUGUCAGUUUUGUCACAAAACUAAGACUGGUCUUUGGAGUUGUUUGAGGAAGGCCCCAUACCAUCACUCUCUCACUUGAGUAUCUUACCAAGUUAUUUUCAGAUCUAAUUUUUCCUCUUUUUUGUAGCUUUGGCAACUGUUUUCUAAACCUGUUCGCACUGCUCCCUGUAGGCUUUACAGAGCCUCCCCACCCCUUGGCUGCAACCCUCCUAAUUUAGUGUACCCUGCGCGCACAACCCAUGUGGAAUUCCAGGUCUCUGGCAGCAUUUGGAACUGCUGACCUGCGGUUAAGAAUGCUGACUUCAUCUCCGCCUAUGCUGCCCUUGACUUUUUGGCCCUGACAGCGGCAUGGAUCACCCCAGAGAACACUGCUGCUCUUUAUUCAUCUGACAAUGUUCUCUCAUAGUCUGAGAGCAUCUGGUCAUUGUGGUGGUGGCACAGAUGAAGUCCUGUGACUAGUGAGGUCUGGCUGCCCGACAACCUGCACAUUCAACCCCAUCCCCUCCUCCCUUCUACAGACCAUCUCUGGAGUCCCUCUCCCAUUCCUCACUUACAUCGUCACCUCAUCCAUGACCACUGGCUGUGUCCCCUCUGACUUCAAAAUUGCAUGAGUUGCUCCCCUCAAGAAACCAACACUCAACUCAUCUGAAGUCAACAACUAUAGACUUGUAUCCCUUUUCUUUCCAAAACACUUGAGCGUGCUGUCUCUAGUCAACUUUCUCGUGAUCUCUCUCAUAAUGAUCUUGGCCCUAACCAGUUAGGCUUUAAGACUGGUCAUUCCACUGAGACUGCUCUUCUGUGUCAUGAAUGUUCUCCGCCCUGCCUAACCUUGCUCGCUCUCACUCAGAACUUUCAAUUCAAGGUGCUUAAUUUGCAUGGGAAACAUGUUUACAUUGCCAAAGCAGGUGACAUGGAUGAAGUCAACAGUUCCAAAAUAAUGUUUAUAUAGUGUUGUAAUGAGAUGCAAAUAGUUAAAUUACAAAAGGGAAAACAAAUAUGGGUUGUGUUUACAAUGGUGUUCUUCACUGCGCCCAAUAGAUAUAUAUUUUUUUUUUCAAAUUCUUUGUCUGUGUCAUCUGAGGGAAAUAUGUCUCUAUGGUCAUACAUUUGGCAAGAGGUUAGGAAAUGCAGCUCAGUUUCCAUCUGGUUUUGUGGGCAGUGUGCACACAGCAGACCUGGCUCAAGAGAAGACCGGCUUUCUGUGGCCUUUCUCAAUAGCAAGACUAUGAGUCUGUACAUAGUCAAAGCUUUCCUUCAUUUUGGCUAAUUUACAGUGGUAAGGUAUUCUGCCACUGUACUUACUGUUUAUGGCCAAAGACUAUUCUAGUUGGCUGUUUUUUUGUGAAUUCCAUUGUGUUAAGUAAUUAGAUUUUUGUUUUCUCAUGAUUUGUUUGGGUCUAAUUGUGUUGCUGUCCUGGGGGUCUGUUUGUGAACAGAGCCCCAGGACAAGCUUGCUCUUCUCCAGGUUCAUUUCUCUGUAGGUCAAGGCUUUGUUAUGGAACGUUUAGGAAUCACUUCCUUUUAGGUGGUUGUAGAAUUUAACGUCACUUUUGUGGAUUUUGAUCAUUUGCAUGUAUCUGCUUAAUUCUGCUCUGCAUGAAUUAUUUGGUGUUUUGCGUUGUACACAGGAUAUUUUUGCAGAAUUCUGCAUGCAGUCUCACUUUGGUGUAUGUCCCAUUUUGUGAAUUCUUGGUUGGUGAGUGUACCCCAGAUCUCACAAAGGGCAAUGGGUUCUAACUAAAUAAAGAGAAACCCUUGAAUGAAUAGGUUUGUCAACAUUUGACUGGUACUGUAUAUGAAUCUAUUAGUUGCAUGAAUUUUGUAUAAUUGAAAACAACAUUUUUUUUUAUGCCAUUUUGCAUAUCCGUUCAUAAACAAUGUGCUAUGGAAUCGGUACAUCGACUCUCUUCCCAGCUAUUUUGCAAUCUGUAUGGAUCUUAAAUUAAACUGGUAUACUUUC